rnacentral:rRNA from 1 species
AGAACGUCGUGAGACAGUUCGGUCCCUAUCCUCCGUGGGCGCAGGAGAACUGAGGGAGGCUGCCCCUAGUACGAGAGGACCGGGGUGGACGGACCUCCGGUGUACGGGUUGUCGACCAACGGCAUCGCCCGGUAGCUGUGUCCGGUCGGGAUAACCGCUGAAAGCAUCUAAGCGGGAAGCCCAUCCCAAGAUGAGUUCUCCCUUCGGUAAGGCCCCUGGUAGACCACCAGGUUGAUAGGCGGCAGGUGCAAGGCGUGCGAGCGCCUCAGCCGAGCCGUACUAAUCGGCCGAGCUCUUACUCUU